UCGGCGACGGCCAUGUUUGUUAUUCCACCUUUUCCUGGGAGGAAGAAGCCGGGGCCCUUGAUCUGGCUCGAAGCUAAACACUUAGCUUUUGUUCCCCGAGAUGAAUAAGAGCACGGAGUACGAGGCAUUGGGGAAAAGGAGGGGGGAGAAGAAAGGACUUGGGGGGGCCAGAGGAGAAAUCCGGUCACCAAGUGCAGAGUGAGGCUGGUCAUUCUAUACCCCGCUGAAGCCGAGGCCCCGUCACAGAACGAGAGCCGUUCCUUUUGAUGAUGUUCAACAGAUCUACUGGCACAUUAAAUUAAGACUGGGGAAUAUCGGGACUGAACACGCUGCAUCAAAUUUAGUCCUCGUGAACGUCUCUCGUUACGUUCAAAGGUUUAAAACUAGCAGUGUAAUUAGAGUUUAUAUACCAGAUAUUAAGGCGCAGAGGGGAGAGAACCAAAGUCGGGGAUGGUGGAUGAAAGAUUAUCGUUGCAAACAUAUGGAGAUGGCUCUGCUUUGAAAGUUUGCUCCAUCUACCCACAAGCACCGCGUGGGCCUGAGUGUUACUCUGCGAGCCUCAUCAAAGCCUAAUUGAGCUUGAGGGGUUUUGCUGAAAUGAAUGAGCAACAGCUCCAUCCUCUUCAUGCCCUAAGCUGGUGGAGACUUUCAGCUGAAGUCACAGAAAGUCCCCUGGUCAUAGUUGGGAUAGAGGUGCUUUGCCUCCCUGUGCUCUCGGUGCUUUCCUAUUCAAGGUCAAGAUCCAGCAGCCAAAGUGUGGAAAAGCAGCAACGUGCUCAGAUAGAUGUGACUUUGAAGAGGAGGAGUUUAGUAUCGAAUGCUAUCGCCUGUUCGGUUUGGCUAGAACAUCCACAGUUUGGUCUCCUUCACACAUUUCUUCAAGGCUCCCUUUAAUCUCUCCUGGUGCCUCUCAAACCGUGCCUUUGAUGCUGUGAUGCCCUUCUUUCACUCACUCAAUAUUCGAUCUGUCUUACUUCUUACAGCUAAAGCCAGUCGAAGUGUAUUCACAUAGGCCUACCCUCUUGUUUAUCACCAGUUCCUCCCACUCCUUUCCUCCCAUGCUCGCAGAAAUGACCACCUGACUGACUCCGAGGGAUCCGUUUUAUCGGCCGUGUAACGUGAAGUGGAAGUCGGUCUUAAUUGAUAGAAGCAGUUGAUCGUGUCUGUUCACUACAAAUGGGAGAAACACAAAGACGGGCAAACACACAUGCUCCACUACGGUGUGUUAAUGAAAGUCAAGUAGCUCGGGUGCUCCCGCCCACCACGUUGAGCCAGAGGUUUACGUAUCAGCUAUCAUUCCCUCCCUGCUCGCACCCACAGAUGAGCCUACGAAAUAGAAACAAGAUCCAAAAUUACUUCUCGUUUACUUUAUCUGGAGACAUGACACAUGUUGUGUGGGAUGGCAGACUUUAUUGUCAGCGGGAAAAAGCGGCGGCUGUAUUUCUUCACACAUUUACAACAGCUUCCUUACUGCGGAAGAUUCGAUGGAUCGUGCAGUUUCCAGACUGCCGUGGUCAGGCUGUUUUUUUGUAAUAUUGUGCUCUGCAAAAUCCUCUGGAUGAUUUAAGCUUUUUCACAUUGUAUCAGGCUACAGCCAGAAACUUCAAUGUGUUCCAGUUAAUGCUACGUGAUGGACCAACACAAAGUAGAGCAUAAUUGUGAAGUGGGAGCAAAAUGGUUUUGAGAAGUGACAAAUCUGAAAAGUGCAGUAUUUCAGGGUCAUGUGAAGUGCUAGUUCUCACAAUCUGUUUUGCAUGAAGUGCAAACUUCUAAUUUUGCUCUUACAAGAACUCCUCACUUCACAGCCAUGUCCUGCUUUACACUGGUUUAUCACGCACGAUCCCUUUCAAAUACUAUUGGAGUUUGUGGUUGUAGUGUGGCAAGAGUGCGACAUUGUUCAUUUGAUACGAAUUAUUUUCCAAGGCGCUGUAAUCGCUGGCCAUACUGGUGUGCUCUGCUGCUGAUGUCAGAACGUGACCCUGUGGCCUGAUGUUGAGUCUUCUCUACGUCAGGAUGGAGAAGAGACGUCCACCAUAUGGCAACGCCUUCUGCAUCCUUGUCCCGGAAUAAUUACUGGACUGUAUGCGUCACAGCAAUUCAGCUGAAAAAAAAAAAAGCAUUAAAAUAAACAAGAAGACUAAGAAAUGCAACACUA